rnacentral:rRNA from 1 species
AUUGAACGCUAGCGGGAUGCCUUACACAUGCAAGUCGAACGGAGUGGCGAACGGGUGAGUAAUGUAUCGGAACGUGCCCAGUCGCGGGGGAUAACUACGCGAAAGCGUAGCUAAUACCUCAUACUAUUGGAGCGGCCGAUAUCGGAUUAGCUAGUUGGUGGGGUAACGGCUCACCAAGGCGACGAUCCGUAGCUGGUUUGGGAGGACGACCAACCACGCUGGGACUGAGACACGGACAAGCCUCCUACGGGAGGCAGCAGUGGGGAAUGUUGGACAAGGGGGGAAACCAUGAUGCAGCCAUCCCGCGUGGGCGAUGAAGGCCGUCGGGUUGUAAAGCACUUUUGGCAGGAAAGCGGUACCUGCAGAAUAAGCACCGGCUAACGACGUGCCAGCAGCCGCGGUUC